GUCUAUGGCCAUGCUACCUUGAACAAGCCUGAUGUCGGAUCUCAGAAGCUAAGCAGGGUCAGGCCUCGUUAGUACUUGGAUGGGAGACCACCUAGGAAUACCAGGUGCUGUAGGCA
rnacentral:rRNA from 1 species